rnacentral:lncRNA from 1 species
GUGUAUUUAUUAGCUACUGACAGCAUCAAUGUAUUACCACAGUUUUACAACUUCUCUUAGGCUGGACAUGACUGGAUGGCGUUAAGUAAGGAUGCUAUCAGAGCCUGGAGGCUCAGAAUCCCUAGAGCAAACAGGCUAGCUAUAGGAGCCCUCUCAGUGAGCUUUGGGUAUAAUUGAGAGACUCUGCCUUAAUUUGUACAGUGGGAACCAAGGAUGAUGCACGAUGUUAGCCUUUGUCUUCAAAAUGUAUGCACCAUGCUCCAUUGGUGCCCACACAUGUGAACAUGCAAAGUCAUGCAUGCAUACCUCAUAGACAUCUUAUAUAAAAGAAAACCAAACAUGUACUGUUGUUUAUACAGUGCCUAUUUGCAUUUAUUGUAGAAUUAGUAUAAAUAUGAGGCACAUUAGAAGUAGUUAAUGCAUACAUGUGCACAUAUUCCACAUUGAAAAUCAUUUCAUAUAUUCAGGUAAAAACUCAGAUAAAAGUUGUAAAUUUUAUUGAGCUAAGUUUGUUAGUAUUUAGACUUCUCCUAUAGAAAGUGGCAGUUUUAUGUGGUUUAACUAACAAAUUUCAGCAACAGAACUGUCCCCCUUAGUUUUAAACCAGAAUAGUAUUUUUUACACUUAUUUCACCACUUGUUUAGGCCUCUGGAUACUUUUUUUAUAAUUGAUCAAAUACUUUAUGAAAGAAGAAAUAUAUAGUGACAAAAGUGUUACUAUUAAGUCCUCAUGAGGGAGGAGGGAGCACACAGAUCUUAAGUUGGCAUAAUUUAAUCAGGUGCUCCCUUAAGUCAGAGAGAUACUAUAGAAAGUAUUUAGAUCCUAAUUCUAGUAAGGAAAAAACACUUGGUGUAGACAGGUGAUUGUUUCAUAAAGUUACGUACAUGUGGCUAACAUUAACAUGAACAAAUGACCAGCAGGCUGAGAGAAUUCCCAGUGGAAACCAGUUAAGUAUGCCUUUAUCCCAACAGAUAUCUUACAAAUUAAUAAUUUAUAAUUUCCACUAAAAUGACUAGGUGAAUAUUACUCAGAAAUGCAGGUAUUAACAAGUUUACAAGCCAACUGGAACUUAUAUCUUGCCUUCUACAAAUAUAAACACUGCGACCACUCUGACUAACCAUUUGGUGGUGUCUUCAGAUGUUACUAUACUAUUAUACCGUCAGCUUCAUUCCUUUGUACUUACUAUUAACACAAGGCUUGUCUGAGCGUUUUCAUUUCAUCUUCUUGAUCUUCCAUUUGCCUUUGCAUUUGAAAACAGUCUUACUCUGUAUCUGAAGCUGCCCUUACCCACUAUGCAGUUGAAGCCUAGCCUCAGUUAUGACCUCAUUCCUGUGACUACUGUUAUAGUUGCUAUAGCAUCUUUGUUCCUAACAGUACUCAUGCAGUAGAUUACUGGUAAGCAGCAAAAGAAAUGAUCUCAUGCGAUAUGAAUUUGUCUCAAAAAUCCUUGGUUGUGAAAGAAGCCAAACAGAUAUAGUAUUUGCCUUUAUUUGUUGUAAGCUUAGGUAUUAACAAGACUACUAAACUGUGGUUAUAAUAAUCAACACUGAGAGCAGCCAGGCGUGGUAACACACACUUGCAAUUUUACUGCUCAGGAAGCUGGGGCAGAAGGAUCUUAAGUUUUAGGCCAGCCUGGACUACUUAGUGAGUUCUGAGCCAGCUUGGGCUCAAGAAUGAAAGCCCCAUAUUUCGUCUUGCCUUGGUAGGAGUUUAUCUGUGUUAGUGUUUGGAUAUAAGUCUGUGGCUUCUAUCCCCCUGGUUCAUGUUUUGAACGUGGUCCCCUGUGAGUAAUACUACUUUUAGAAAAUGAUGGAAUCUUUAAGAGGUGGAGGACCUAGCCUGAGGGAGUGAGUCGGAGGAUGAGGUUUGGUAGCCCGCCCCCCAGCUCACUGCCUGUCUCUACUUCCUUGACUGCCCCUGCUCUUAACCACCAUCUCUUCCCAGCCAUGAUGGGCUGUACCCUUCAAACUAAAGCCAAAGUAACUUUUUUUUUUCUUUUUUGCUGAUUUUUGUCAGAUCUUUGUUCACAGCAGCAAGAAGAGUGACUAACACAGUGAGUGUCUGUGCAAAGUAACUAACUGAACUGAAUGCUAACUGAGCUCCUUUUAGCCCUGGCAGGCUGAAAAAGCCGGGAAUCCCAGCAUUUCUGAGGCCGAGCUAGCCUGCUCUUCAAAGAAGACAUCAUGCUAAAGCAAUACAGUUUUACAAGUAAACAAGGACAUGCUGCCUUCACAGUGUAUGAGUUGUACCUCUAAAAAUAUUUUUAAAUGGAUUGUGGUUUUGAUAGUUAUUUACAGAAAUUUAAAUUCUGAAUAGUGAGUACAAUUUUCACGUAUCUUUAUUCAUAGGCCUCUACCAGGAAGUUUAAAAUAUUUUUUUGUUUUAUUUUUUUGGUUGUCCAUGUGUGAAUACAGGUGUUCACAGAGUCCACAAGAGGUUGCUGGACCCUCUGGAACUAGAAUCACAGGUUGUUGUGAGCUGCCUGAUGUGGUACUGGGAACUGAACUCGAGUGUCGUGCAAUGGCAGUGGGUGCUCAUUACUACUGAGCCAUUUCUAAAACUGUCAGGACAUUCAUUAGCUAUGCUGCUAACAAUGAUUAAGAAGGUGAGACCUAAGCAGGGUGUGCUGGUGUCUGCCAUACAAUUCUAGUACUUAGGAGGCAGCAACAGAAGGCUUACCACAAAUUAGGCCAGACAAAUGCUACAACUAUUAAUAUAAAAUACACAAAAAUGGAAGUUAAAUGAGAUGAAGGUGGUCUCUGAAGUCAGAUCUUCCAGAAUUCAAUCCUGCUGUGACCUUAGGGAAGUAACUGUACCUCUGUGGAUAUCUCUGAUUUUGUUCAGUUUGUUUUGAGAAAGGGUUUGCUAUGUAGCCUAGGCUGUCCUUGAACCUGUGAUCUACCUACCUCAGCCUCCUGAGUGCUGGGAGUUUAGAUACGCACUACUAUGCCUUUGUGUUGGAGUUGAAUUAAAGCUUGCUGAUUUGUGCUAUCUUAAUAAUAUUGUUGAAGUUAUUAGCAUGCCUCCAUUUUCUUGGCUUCAGUAAAAGACUAUUGUUCCUCUCAGUUUUCAUUUUUUGCUACCUCAACAUGUAGUUGAUUCAUAAGAGACAGAAUAAUGUUGCUGAACCUUAAGCCAUACUGAUAAUUAAUGUAAGGUACUUGCUAUAUUUAUAUUAUGCUUUAUCCUAUUUUAAGGAAAUUUUAUGGAAAUUUUAUGGAAAAAAAAUUUCCCAUUUUUUAUGGAAAAAAAGAUACAGGAUCAUAAAUGUUUAAAAAAACAUUCCCAUUUUAUGGAAAAAAAGAUACAGGAUCAUAAAUGU